GCCGACAUAGCUUAGUGGUAAAGCACUUCAUUGGUAAUGAAGAGACCGUGAGUUCGAUCCUCACUGUCGGCU
rfam:Microgenomates (Daviesbacteria) bacterium GW2011_GWB1_36_5 TS19_C0017, whole genome shotgun sequence.